AUUGGAUUGAGAACAAUGUACAACUCUUAUCGAUAAGCCAUUGGAGGGCAAGUCUGGUGCCAGCAGCCGCGGUAAUUCCAGCUCCAAUAGCGUAUAUUAACGUUGUUGCAGUUAAAAAGCUCGUAUUUGAAGUGUGGGUGUUCCCUAUUGUGAAACAUCGGUCUCUCGACAGUACUUCCCCCCCUUCCCUAAAUUCCAGUAGUGGGAGAUCGCUUACUUAAUAAUGGGGCCGGUCCUUUUCUCAGUGAAAAAUAGAGUGUUCAAAGCAGGGGUGUGUUUGAAUAGAUUAGCAGGGAAUAAUAAUUGAAGGCUUUCGUGUUCGAUUUGAUUGGUUUGUUCAUGGAAGCAAGGUUAAAAGGAACAGUUGGGGGUAUUCAUAUUCACUAGUA
rnacentral:rRNA from 1 species